UACGUAGGGUGCGAGCGUUGUCCGGAAUUAUUGGGCGUAAAGGGCUCGUAGGCGGUUUGUCGCGUCGGGAGUGAAAACACUGGGCUUAACUCAGUGCUUGCUUCCGAUACGGGCAGACUAGAGGUAUUCAGGGGAGAACGGAAUUCCUGGUGUAGCGGUGAAAUGCGCAGAUAUCAGGAGGAACACCGGUGGCGAAGGCGGUUCUCUGGGCCGUAACUGACGCUGAGGAGCGAAAGCAUGGGGAGCGAACAGG
rnacentral:rRNA from 1 species